UACGAAGGGGGCUAGCGUUGCUCGGAUUCAUUGGGCGUAAAGGGUGCGUAGGCGGCGCGGUAAGUCGGGUGUGAAAUCUCGGGGCUUAACUCCGAAACUGCAUUCGAUACUGCCGUGCUUGAGGACUGGAGAGGAGACUGGAAUUUACGGUGUAGCGGUGAAAUGCGUAGAUAUCGUAAGGAAGACCAGUGGCGAAGGCGGGUCUCUGGACAGUUCCUGACGCUGAGGCACGAAGGUCAGGGGAGCAAACGGG
rnacentral:rRNA from 1 species